UAAGAGAUAUAGCGAAGAGAUAUAGCGAAAAAAAACAUGACGCAAAUAUAAUUAUUACAACAGAUGAGUUAUCUUUGCAUUUGAAAAUAUAUAGCAAAUUGAUAAGCAGCACACAUUGUUUACAUAUUCUAUAUGAGUGAUAAAGAAGCGUCUUCCUCAUUAUUGCAAGAAAUAACAUUAACUGAUGAAAAUAAAAAUAUUUUACCAGAAAUUAUUUGUAAUUCAUCGAAAAGUACAAGAAACAAAACUUUGUAUAGUGAAAUUUGUAUAGUGAAAUGUUACGCAAACAUGACAAGUUUUACAGAGAAAAGUGAAACCAAAAAAUGAACGAAUUGCUGCCAUAAGCAAUAUUUCGAAUAGGUUGAAAGAAACAAACGCUAAAAGUUCAACAUGACAAGGCAAUUAAUACAUCGUCUUUUUUAGCAAUAAGAAAAUACACGCCAUUAGAAAAUCAACUCAGGACAAAGAAACGAGUAUUUUUCCAAGGAAAUUAUGGAAAUCUCCGACAAAAUGUGCAAUUAGAAAAGAAAAGAAGAAAAGAAUAAAAAGAAAUAUAUAACUUACGUAAAAAGUUUGCAGAAAAAGAUAAGAGCAAAAACCCUUAAUAAUAUUUUGAAUAAAAUGAAACAAAAAAAAUUUCUUGAUGAUAAACAGUAUGAAACAUUACAUUUGAUAAAGCAAAUUUAGAAUUAUUUCAAAGUCUUGUAAACUUGCCGGUGUUUCUAUGCCUAAACAAUAUUCUCCAGAAUUGCGAACUUUUGUAUUGACUUAUACUAUUAUUCUCCCCGUGCAUAUAAAUAUGUAAGAAAUAAAUUCCAUAAAUGUUUUCCUCAUUCUAAAACAUUGAGUGUAUAGUACACAUCUAUUAAUGGUUCUCCGGGUAUUAAUAUUGAAGCUUUGAAUUGCAUAAAAGAGAAAGCUGCUUUAGUCGAUUUUUCAUUAUAUGUUUGCAUAACAUUUGAUGAAAUGGCUAUUAGACAAGAGAUUGAAUAUGAUGGCUCUAAAUUUUAUGGUUAUAUCGAUUUUGGAUCUGAUUCCAAUCAUACACUUAUUGCUAAAGAGCAUUAGUAUUUUUAUUAAUAUACUUAAAUCAAAACUGGAAAAUUUCCAUCGCCUACUACUUUAUUAAAGUUCCAUCUACCGAAUACAUCAAACAAGAUCUUUAUUUUCUCGGAUCUAAGUCAUUUAAUAAAAAUGAUUCGUAAUGUAUUCGAAAAAAAAGGCAUGAUGGAUGCAAUGGAUAAUACAAUAUCACGGCAAUAUAUUAAAGAGCUGCAUUUGUUACAAGAAAAAGAAGGUUUUUGAAUCAUAAUUAAAAGUUUAAUGGGAUUAUACGACAUGCUUUGCGAAG